rnacentral:rRNA from 1 species
ACUUUCAGCAACGGAUCUCUUGGCUCUCGCAUCGAUGAAGAACGCAGCGAAAUGCGAUAAGUAAUGUGAAUUGCAGAAUUCAGUGAAUCAUCGAAUCUUUGAACGCACCUUGCGCUCCUUGGUAUUCCGAGGAGCAUGCCUGUUUGAGUGUCAUGAAAUUCUCAACCUAACAAGUUCUUAACCGGACUUGCUUAGGCUUGGACUGGAGGCUUGUCGGCUCUUAGCAGUCGGCUCUCUCAAAUGCAUUAGCUUUGGUUCCUUGCGGAUCGGCUCACACGGUGUGAUAAUUGUCUACGCCGCGACCGUUGAAGCGUUUAAUGGCCAGCUUCUAAAUCGUCUCUUGCGAGACAAGCAUUCAUCGAACUCUGACCUCAAUCAGGUAGGACUACCGCUGAACUUAAGCAUAUCAUAAGCGGAGGAAAAGAAACUAACAAGGAUUCCCCUAGUAACUGCGAGUGAAGCGGAAAGCUCAAAUUUAAAAUCUGGCGGUCUUUGGCCGUCCGAGUUGUAGUCUGAGAAGUGGCUUUCCCGCUGGACCGUGUAUAAGUCUCAUUGGAACAGAGCGUCAUAGAGGGUGAGAAUCCCGUCUUUGACACGGACUACCAGUGCUUUGUGAUGCGCUCUCAAAGAGUCGAGUUGUUGUUUGGAAUGCAGCUCAAAAUGGGUGGGUGAAUUCCAUCUAAAGCUAAAUAUUGGCGAGAGAACCGAUAGCGAAAAGUACCGUGAGGGAAAGAUGAAAAGCACUUUGGAAAGAGAGUUAAACAGUACGUGAAAUUGCUGAAAGGGAAACGCUUGAAGUCAGUCGCGUUUGCCGGAACUCAGCCUUCCUUUUGGUUGGUGCACUUUCCGGUAGACGGGCCAGCAUCGAUUUCGACCGUCGGAUAAGGCUGGGGAAAUGUGGCACACUUUCGGGGUGUGUAUAAGUCCUCAGUCGCAUACGUCGGUUGGGAUCGAGAUCGCAGCGCGCCGCAAGGCAGGGGAGUUCCGCCCACUUUCGCGCUUAGGAUGCUGGCAUAAAUGGCUUUAAACGACCCGUCUUGAAACACGGACCAAGGAGUCUAACAAACCUGCGAGUGUUUGGGUGGAAAACCCGAGCGCCGUAAUGAAAGUGAAAGUUGAGACCUCUGUCGUGGAGGCAUCGACGCCCGGACCUGAAGUUCUCUGACGGUUCGCGGUUAGAAGCAUGUUUGUUGGGACCCGAAAGAUGGUGAACUAUGCUGAAUAGGGUGAAGCCAGAGGAAACUCUGGUGGAGGCUCGUAGCGAUUCUGACGUGCAAAUCGAUCGUCAAAUUUGGGUAUAGGGGCGAAAGACUAAUCGAACCAUCUAGUAAGCUGGUUCCUGCCGAAGUUUCCCUCAGGAUAGCAAAACUCAUAUCAGAUUUAUGUGGUAAAGCGAAUGAUUAGAGGCCUUGGGGUUGAAACAACCUUAACCUAUUCUCGAAACUUUAAAUAUGUAAGAACGAGCCGUCUCUCUGAUUGGACGCUCGGCGAUUGAGAGUUUCUAGUGGGCCAUUUUUGGUAAGCAGAACUGGCGAUGCGGGAUGAACCGAACGCGAGGUUAAGGUGCCGGAAUACACGCUCAUCCAGACACCACAAAAGGUGUUAGUUCAUCUAGACAGCAGGACGGUGGCCAUGGAAGUCGGAAUCCGCUAAGGAUGUGUAACAACUCACCUGCCGAAUGAACUAGCCCUGAAAAUGGAUGGCGCUCAAGCGUGUUACCCAUACCUCGCCGUCAGCGUUGAAGUGACGCGCUGACGAGUAGGCAGGCGUGGAGGUCAGUGAAGAAGCCUAGCAGUGAUGCUGGGUGAAACGGCCUCUUAGUGCAGAUCUUGUGGUAGUAAGCAAAUAUUCAAAGUGAAGAACCUUGAAGACUGAAGUGGAGAAAGGUUCAUGGUAAACAGCAGUUGGACAUGGGUUAGUCGAUCCUAAGAGAUAGGGAAGCUCCGUUUCAAAGUGCCUGCUUGUUCAGGCCGCCUAUCGAAAGGGAAUCCGGUUAAGAUUCCGGAACCAGGAUGUGGAUUUUUAAACGGCAACGUAAAUGAACUUGGAGACGCUGGCGAGGGCCCCGGGAAGAUGUUAUCUUUUCUCCUUAACAGUCUGCCACCCUGAAAUCGGUUUGUCCGGAGCUAGGGUUCAAUGGCUGGUAGAGCUCGACACCUCUGUCCGGGUCCGGGCGUUCUCGACAGCCCUUGAAAAUCCAAGGGAAUGAAUAAUUUUCACGCCUGGUACACGGUUAGAGACCUGGGUAUCGACUUCAACUACCGCGCUGAACGACCUCCUCGUGGUGUAGCCUGGGACGGGUGGUGACUCCCCGUGCUAACGGUUCAGCAAAUCUAAUGGGUUCUGGGGGCUUUACUUGAGGGGUUAGCUUCUGGAGUUAUUAAAACGCGCCCGAUCGUAAUUAAAAAGGAAAGGGCGGUAAAUGUCGAGUUGAAACACCCGAAUGCCAGGCCGCCAUGCUUGACAGACGGGGGCAACAAGACGGGUAUAUGUAUUCGUUAUUUGAAGAGUAACCAGAUUACUUGAAAGCGGGGCGGUGAUUAAAAGACUGAAGGCCUCGCUUUAAAUUUGAAUUGACGGAUGUGUUUAACACGGUGGGUACAAUGAACUUGAAGGCGGACACCUGUCGAUUUAGCUGGAGUCCUGCGGACAAGGGAGUUGUAAGUAAAUCGGCCGGAAACGCGUGUUCACGGGGGUAUCUAAGACCCCAGUAAGCACGCAAGUACAGCUGAGAUACUAGUCCACUGUGGCCGAUAAAUUAUAAAACCGGGAUUAGACCAGUUGCUAGUACGCUUAGUAGGGCAGGACCUGCCGGCAGUCACUGAGUGGGGGCCGUCUCACGAUUGGCUUCCGCUAAGACUAAAGGAUGAUAGCUCUAUGGGACCUGCGCAUACAGACCGUGUUUGCCGAACUUGUAUGUGUCGCGGAAAGUAAAGGGUUCUAGGAAAGAGUGCUGUUUAAUGCGCUCAAGUACACCGGUUAUAAGGAUGGAGCCAGAUAAUUGACUGAAUAAGAGAGUUUCCGCUGUAAUCUCUGAAUGGCGGAUAGUUUCCUUGAACGGUUGUAAUGACAUUAGUACGGGAGACUGAAGCUGUUGUAGGGGAAGCUUAGGACUGGUAAAGCACGACAAGUCCAUGUCUGGUAAACAGAGUUGUAAGUGGCUAGUCAGAUUGUUUGGACGGCUUGAAGGGUUCUCUUUCGAGCUUUGAGUGCCAGUAACAAUUGCUAAUGAAAGGGACGCCCGUGUGUCUUAGCCGACAUGCGCAGGCCGGCCCUGGAGUUAGACAUGUGUACACCACGAGGCUUAGGCA